rnacentral:rRNA from 1 species
GAUCAUGGCUCAGGAUGAACGCUGGCGGCGUGCCUAAUACAUGCAAGUAGAACGCUGAAGCUUGGUGCUUGCACCGAGCGGAUGAGUUGCGAACGGGUGAGUAACGCGUAGGUAACCUGCCUCUUAGCGGGGGAUAACUAUUGGAAACGAUAGCUAAUACCGCAUAAAAGUCAAUAUCGCAUGAUAUUGAUUUGAAAGGUGCAAAUGCAUCACUAAGAGAUGGACCCG